UGGGGAAUCUUGCGCAAUGGGCGAAAGCCUGACGCAGCGACGCCGCGUGCGGGAAGAAGGCCUUCGGGUUGUAAACCGCUUUCAGGAGGGACGAAGCCACUCGGGUUAAUAGCCCAGAGGGUGACGGUACCUCCAGAAGAAGCCCCGGCUAACUACGUGCCAGCAGCCGCGGUAAUACGUAGGGUGCGAGCGUUGUCCGGAAUUAUUGGGCGUAAAGAGCUCGUAGGCGGUUUGUCGCGUCUGCCGUGAAAACCGGGGGCUUAACCCUCGGCCUGCGGUGGAUACGGACAGACUUGAGUUCGGUAGGGGAGACUGGAAUUCCUGGUGUAGCGGUGAAAUGCGCAGAUAUCAGGAGGAACACCGGUGGCGAAGGCAGGUCUCUGGGCCAUUACUGACACUGAGAAGCGAAAGCAUGGGAGCGAACAGGAUUAGAUACC
rnacentral:rRNA from 1 species